rnacentral:rRNA from 1 species
GCAAAUCAAUAUAAAUUGAUUAAUAUUUAUUUAUUAAUUUUAUAUUAUUUUUGUAUAAUUUAUUAAAAAUAAUUAUAUAAUUUAUUGUUUUAGUAAUUUUUUAUGAAAAAAUAAUUAUAAUAAUAGUGUAUUAUGUAUUGUAAAAGGUUAUUGAAAUAUUUUGAAAAAUAAUUAUUUUUUAAGAAAUCUUUAUUUGUUGUACCUUGUGUAUCAGGGUUUAUUAAAAAAUUGAUAAUUUUGUUUAUUAAUCUCGAUUUUAUAAGAGUUAAUAAUUUAUGAAAGUUAAUGUGUUAAAAUUAUUUUUAAUAGAUUAUUAGAAAUGAAAUGUUAUUCGUUUAUAAAGGUAUCUAGUUUUUUUAGAAAUAAAUUUAAUUUACAAAAUUUUAAUUUUUGAAUUAUUUAUAUAAUUAAAAAAUUUAUUAUUUUGAAUAUCUUAAGGGAUAAGCUUUAAGAUAAAUUAUUAAAAAUUUAUAAUUUGUUGUUUAAAAUGUAUGCUUAGAAUUAGUAAUCAUUAAUAAUAUUGUUAUAAAUUAUUUAUAUAAAUAUAUUAUUUAUUUAUUUUUAAUUUUAUUUAUAAAAAUUUUUUCAGUAAUAUUUUAUGAAAAGUAAUAAUGAUAAAAUUAGUAUAUUUUAUUGUAUAUUUAAUUUUAUAUGAUAAGUUUAUAUAAAGAACUCGGCAAAUAUUUAUACUCGCCUGUUUAACAAAAACAUGUCUUUUUGAGUUAUUUUUAAAGUUUGACCUGCCCGGUGAAUAAUUUAACGGCCGCAGUAUUUUAACUGUGCAAAGGUAGCAUAAUCAUUAGUCUUUUAAUUGAAGGCUGGAAUGAAUGGUUGGACGAAGUAUGAGCUGUUUCAUAUAAAUUUAUAAUAGAAUUUUAUUUUUUAGUUAAAAAGCUAAAAUAUAAUUAAAAGACGAGAAGACCCUAUAAAUCUUUAUAUUUAUUUAUAUUUAAAUUUUAUAGAUGUGUUUUAUUUUUUUAAAAAUAAAUAUUUUAUUGGGGUGAUAUUAAAAUUUAAUAAACUUUUAAUUAAUAAAUUCAUUAAUUUAUGAUUUGUUGAUCCAUUAAUAAUGAUUAUAAGAUUAAGUUACUUUAGGGAUAACAGCGUAAUUUUUUUUGAGAGUUCAUAUCGAUAAAAAAGUUUGCGACCUCGAUGUUGGAUUAAGAGAUAAUUUUAGGUGUAGUAGCUUAAAUGUUAAGUCUGUUCGACUUU